rnacentral:lncRNA from 1 species
CGCAUACCAAGGCAACUCAUCGGGAAAUGAGGCGAUUAGCAAUGAGGCAAGAUCAUAUGUUCGAUCCUAUGAACGCAUCUUUCGCCUCUUUGAACACAACUCUUCAAAGCUUCAACCCGGCAGCACAAUUUUCGUACCAAUAGCCCGGACCAAUGCCAAGGUUCCCACCAAGUGAUUCCGAUGAAGAAAACCAACAACCACCUCCUCAGACUUAAGCGAAAGCAGGGAAGUCCUCACGUACUCAAUUAGAUUAUUCUACCAAUGAGGACAUUGUAUUACUUAAGUUUGGGGGAUUUAAAUACAUGUUUGCAUGCAUUUAGCUCAUUUAGGUAUUAAUUUGCAUUUUGUCAUUUAAAUUUCUGUAUUGCAUAUCUUAAUUUAAGUAGUGCAUGAUAGCUUAGGUGCAUCCAUAGUAGCUUAGGUUAGUGUUUGUCAUUGCAUAGUAGAUAAUCUUGUAAUGCAUUUUGUUAUCCAUAUAUAAAAAUAAAAAAAAAUUAAAAAUUAAAAAUUAAAAAAAAAAUUAGUUAAA